rnacentral:lncRNA from 10 species
CUGCCACAGCUUCGGGACGACUGGAUCGCCGCGCCUGGGCCGGAGCGAGCCAUCUGCGGGCACUAUGCAAAGCGGGAGACGGCGCGAGCGGCGCCCGGCUCACACUAGCUCUUCCAGGACGCAGGACAGAAGAGCUCCUUGGCACUGGAUGCCUCCGGGUCUGGUUGAGAGAGGAAUGGUUAGGAGACUGUUCUGAGGAUACGCAGACAUCAUCCAAAGCUUCCUACAUUCAGAUGAGGACAGAGGUUGGGCCAGAGCUUUGUAAGCUUGUUACCUAAGGAUGGUUCUGACCAUGUAAGCAGAUCACAGAAGCUGGAGGCAAAGGAUGCCAAGAUGGGAAAGCCACAUAAUGGAAGGAUCCUGGAUUUCAGAGCUGUCACUUGGAGGAGGGGCACCCAGUGAAGGUGUCUUAUCUAACCCACACCAUAUCUUCAUGAAGUGGCCAUAUGGAUUUGAUCCCUAUCCUUCAGAGGUGCUCAGCCUAAGGGAACACGGAUAGUAGAUUAAGCACUGACCAGGUGAAAAAGAUUGAUCAUCAGAUGUUUCUUAUGUAUCAACCUGAUAUUUAAAUCCAUGAAGGACAGAGACGACAAAGGCAGGUGGAAUAGAUAGAGAAGAGAUUCAAGGUCUGAGCUCUACAUUACUCAAACUGUUAGAGAUUAGGAAGAAGAGGAAGACCUGGCAAAAGAAUGUCCUGGGAUGUAGAAAGAAAACCAGAAGCUUGUGUUCUCUGGAAACCAAAUGAAGAAAGGGCUUCCAGAAGGACAGACAAAGUGUAGUGUGUCAAAGGCUCCUGAGCAAUCAGAGGAGAGCACAAAGGGGCUCACAGGACUUUGGUAUCUGGAUCACCCAGUGACACUUCCUGAUCACGAGAAACUGUCAGACCAACAGGGGCACUUUCUGAAACCAGCAGUUCUUCAGUGCCCAAAUGCAACCUUGAUGGUUUGAUUUUGGAGGAUGGCAAUUCAUUAACAGCACUCCCCAGUGAUAAAUAUGAAAACCAAUAAAACCCCCCACCCAAGGCAAUCUCUCCCAGCUCCUCGCUUUGAGUAAAGUGAGUAACCUCCAUUUCUGCCAACUCCUGUCUUGUCUGAAGCCACAUUUCCCCAGCAAUGUCACAUAUGCAUUUCUUGAUCCUGGUCAUUUCUCCUCUUGGGAGAUGAAUCAUAAAGAAAAUGAGAUCUGUGUGCCCUGGUGACUAUGGAUGCAAGAGUCUGCUGCCCUGGAGGGAACAGCUGGAGAAACCAGGAGAAGGCAGUCCUAGGGCAGUCUCCGGGCCAGCUUUCCCUAAUAAGAAGGCAGAGCUCCUCUUCACCCAGACUUCAGACCUAUAGAGGCAGCCUGGGGUCCCGGGAUGCCCUUGCACUCAGAGAUGUCCCCAGAGUCCUAGGGAAAUGGAGGAUAACUAGGAGGAAGCUGUUCAUGGCUGGCGAUGAGGUCUAUACCUUCUUGUCCGUCUCAGUGCUGUCUGCUAUUGAAUUUUUGUGCAGAUCACAUUAACUUAAAGCCAGUUCUCAAGAAGCUCCCCCUGCCGCCGGCAUAUCCACCAGUUGCUCCCCUUUCCUGCCAUUAAUCAGGGUCUGCUAGUUAGAGAACAAAUUCCUAUUUGUCCAAACAGUUGCCAACACCCCCACCCCAAGGUAGUUAAAUGAGGAUGAAUGGGUCAUUCUUAUUAAAAAAUGACUUAAAUUUCUCAAAUUCUAUUUAUGUUUCUUUUACAUCCCAAUUUUCUAUAGAUUUAGUGACUCCAAAUGAUAAGGUCUCAAGCUCAUAAUAAUUUAUCCCUUGGGUAACACACAAGGCUUGGUGGUAUUUCAGUAAUAUUCAUGACAACAGCAGCUGUCGUGCUAAUAAGGACUGAUGUCACCAGAGCACUUUCUAUGUGCCAAGCAUGGUGCACAACACUUUACAUACAUUAUGUCAUUUAAUUUUCACAAAACCUCACAGAGGUAAAUAUUAUUAUCUUCCUCUGCAUAUAAGGAAAUGAAUGUUCGGAAAGAUUAAGUCAACUCACUGAGGUCCCAUCAGUGCUCUUUCAUAUGCCUCUGUUGCAGUCUCAUUGAACUGCUGAAAUCAGAAAAACCUGGAGACCUUGUUAACCUUCAGAUUCCUGGGCCCCAUCUUAGAUGCAGGGAGUCAGACUUCCUGGGAGUGUGGCCCUGGAAUUUUCAUUUGUAAACACAUUCCCCAAGAGACCUGUAUGCACACUAAAGUGGGAGAAUUCACGAUCUCUGGCUUUUGUGAUGUUUUAAACGCACUAUAUAAUUUCAGUAGCAAAAGAAUUGGGCUUUGGGAAGGGAGUGUGUGGUGAACCCUGAAAGCUGAAUGGACUUCCUUCCUGUGGAGGAGCAGUGGGAGAAACUGGAGGCAGAGAGCUGUGUUUCAUUCCUUGAUUGAGCCUUUGUGAGUUAUUUAAUCUCUUUCAGUCUCUAUUUUUUUCAUUUGUAAACCAGGAAGGAUACUUGUAUUUUCCAGGUGGUUGUGAGGUGUGAAAGAGAUGAGAGUAGAACAAAAUUUUAAAAGUUGAAAGCACUCAACAAAUGUAUUUGGUAUUAAUCAUGGGUUUCCCUGGGGCCGAGGAAGCCACCAGCCACCGCAGGCCUGUACACAAUGCCAGCCACCAUGUAUGGAUACGGAGGAGGCAAAAGGACUAGCGAACACUCCCAGGGACUGGAUGUCUUGAAUAUCUGUCCAACUUUCUUGGGAGGGGCCAUUUCUUCUGUAACUCAAAGGAAUUUAUUAUUUUUCAGCCAGGGAGGCAUGCUUUCUAUCUACUGCUAGUACUCCCAGACCAAGCUGUUUCAGUGGGACUGAGGUGUGACUUCUGCCUCGGUUUCAUCCAUCUGUGCAGGGAAGAGAAAAAUGCCUGCACCUCCACGGUCACACCCUCUGUUGGAACCACCUCCUUAAGCCAGAAUUAUUGAAUGUUCUCUAUGUGCCAGAAUUAUUAUUAUCUCAUUUGAUUCUCACAACAAUGCCAUGAAGUCUAUACAGACAUACCUUGGAAAUACAGCGGGUUUGGUUCCAGACCACCGCAAUAAAGCUAAUACCGCAAUAAAAUGGGUCACACGAAUUUUUUGGAUUAGGCUUCGGCUUAAGGGAAUGUUGUGGCUGGUUUGAUGUUUUAUCCAGACCGCUAACACUUUCUCCCUAUCAGCAAUGAGGCUGUUUUGCUUUCUUAUCAUUCCUGUGUUCACUGGAGUAGCACUUUUAAUUUCCUUCAAGAACUUUUCCUUUGCAUUCAUAACUUGGCUAACUGUUUGGCACAAGAGGCCUGCCUAGCUUUUGGCCUAUCUAAGCUUUUGACUUGCCUUCCUCACUGAGCUUAAUCAUCUCUAGCCUUGGAUUUAACGUGGAAAAUGUGUGACCCUUCCUUUCACUUGAACACUUGGAAGCUAUUGUAGGGUUAUUAACUGGCCUAAUUCAAUAUUAUUGUGUCUCAGGGAACAGGGAGGCCCAGAGAGAGAGAGACGGGAAAACAGAAAGUCAGUGGGGCAGGCAGAACACACACGUUUAUUUAUUAAGUUUGCUGUCAUAUGUUGGUGCAGUUCAUGCUGCCCCAAAACAAUUACAAUAACAAGAUCAAAGAUUCCUGGUCAUAGAUUGCCAUAACAGAUACAGUAAUCACGAAAAAGUUUGAGAUAUUGUGAGAAUUACGCAGAUAUUGUGAGAAAUAUGACCCAGAGACAAGAAGCGAGCACAUGCCGUUAGAAAAAUGGCACCAACAGACUUGCUUGCUGCAGGGUUACACAUACCUUCAAUUUGUAAAAAAAAAAAACUGUAAUAUCUGCAAAACGCAAUAAAGAAAAGUGUAAUAAAAUGCAGUCUGCCUGAACUUCAAUUAUUCCCAUUUUAUAGAAGAGGAAAUAGAUGCAGGGAGUUUGAUCUGCCUGAACUAGUAAAUGGUAGAACUCUGGGACUAACAUUCCUAUCCUCUAUGCUACAUUCCUAGGAAAGAACGCUCAGACAGGGUUGGACUGAGAGUGUGUUAAGCUUUGCACUGUUUUGAGCCCUCUGAAGGAGUGUCCGUAUUUGAAAGCUGGCCUCCUUCCUUUCACUGGCCCUCCACAGUGUGGCCUAAGUUAUUCAAUUAGGAAGGGAAAUAAUUGGCAGUGGAGAAUGCCUCUAGCAGUGGUAAUUACCUCCAGUGCCUUGUAGGAAUAGUCAAGCUACAUUUCAGUUUAUGCUGUAAAACCUUAAUUAUAAUAUAAACAGCUGCCCUUCAGCCCAGUGGGGCAGCCUUCCCCCGCCUUCCUUCUCUGGCCUCUGAAUGGCCCUGCCUCCUGAAUGGUCAGGGAGGUCCAGGGACGGAAGGAGACCUGGGAGGAGGGGAGCCGAUGACUAUGCGUGCGUUGGGGUUUGGAAGACUAAGCUGGAGGGAGCCACUGCCAGGGUCCCAUCUUCAAGUGAUGAAGCCAAAGGCAGCAUCCCCAUUCUUGGUACCACUCACACUGAGUCUCUUGGGGGAGCAGCCUCCAGCCAUUAGCAGUCAGCCCAGUGCCAUUAGGCUAGGAUAGGGUUUAGCAGGCUAUGGUAUCAUUUCAGGGUAACAUCUCUUUCUAUUUACUCCCCUAUAAGGGAGAACAGAGUCUUCCCUUCUAGAUCCAGACUUCCUGGCCAUGUAGGAGCCCUGUUGAGUGCCUGGUGCACUCUAGGUAGUAUGCGAGGCAUGGUUGCAAGGGUUCCCCAUUUCAACUUCACAGCACUUGGAUACACAGAAAAUUAACAUCCUCAUUUGACUAUUGAGGAAAAUGAGACUUUGAAAGUUUAAACGGAGAUAAGGCUUGGGAGGCAGACAGCCCUGUAAGUGACUUAAGUUCAGGAAGGAGAAGGACACUCAAUAUUUUUGUUCAGAGCACUGGGAAGGAGAGAGAGGGAUCAGUCACCAUCGGGCAUUUGAGAAGGUCCAGGAACAGGGGGCUGGUGAGCAGAGGGGGGAAUAACACCAGAGGGGCUGAAAUUGCUGAUUGCUGGGUUCACAGAUCUACCCACGAGCGGCCCAGGUACCCCAUGAGCGGCUGCUCUGUGUCAUCUGACCACUGGAUUGUAACCUGGGCUGAAAGAAUCAGAAGUCAGUGUGGCGAGGCAGGAGUCCUCAGAUGGUCAGAGCUGACUCUUCAACUCUUAAGGGCAAAAUGGAAAAUGUGAGCUUGUUGGUGGUCUUCGAAACACAGUAAGCAAUCCAUGCCCCUGAAGAGCAGGGAUAAUUAUAGGCAUGCCCUUGUUUUAUUGUGCUUUGCAGAUAUUGCAUGUUUUUACAAAUUGAAGAUUUAUGGCAACUCUGCAUACAGCAAAUCUAUUGAUGCCAUCUUUUUCCAAUAUCACAUGCUCACUCUGUGUCUCUGUCUCACAUUUUGGUAGUUCUCCCAAUAUUUCACACCUUAUUAUUAUUAUUAUAUCUGUUAUGAUGAUCUGUGGUCAGGGAUCUUUGAGGUUACUAUUGUAGUUGUUUUGAGGUGCCAUGAACUGCACCCAUGUAAGACAGCGAACAUAAUCAAUAAAUGUUGUGUGUUCUGACUGCUCCACCAACCGACUGUUUCCCUGUCUCUUUCUCUCUCCUCUGGCUCCCUAUUCCCUGAGGCACAAUCAUAUUGAAAUUAGGCCAAAUAAUAACCCUACAAUGGCUUCUAAAGGUUCAAGUAAAAGGAAGAGUCACAUCUCUUACUCUAAAUCAAAAGCUAGAAAUGAUUAAGCUUAGUGAGGAAGGCAUGUGGAAAGCUGAGA